GAUGAACGCUGGCGGCGUGCUUAACACAUGCAAGUCGAACGAAGCACUUUGAAGUCCUCGGACGGAGAAGUGACUGAGUGGCGGACGGGUGAGUAACGCGUGGGUAACCUGCCUCAUACAGGGGGAUAACAGUUAGAAAUGACUGCUAAUACCGCAUAAGACCACAGCACCGCAUGGUGCAGGGGUAAAAGCCGAGACGGUAUGAGAUGGACCCGCGUCUGAUUAGCUAGUUGGUGGGGUAACGGCCUACCAAGGCGACGAUCAGUAGCCGACCUGAGAGGGUGACCGGCCACAUUGGGACUGAGACACGGCCCAA
rnacentral:rRNA from 1 species